UGUGAACACAUGGCUACUUUUAUACGUUAUGGUGAGAGCCAUUCACUGCAGCAUGGUUCAGCUUGUCAAAGUGUGAUUAAUGUUAGUAAAAGAGCACAAGAACUGCUGGCCAAAGUGAGAGAACACGUCAUGGAUGAAGCCAAUUGUACACUUCACAGCUAACAAGGAUCUUGGCAGUCAAUCCUGUCAGCCUGUCCUGCUCUCUUCUGCUCUUUCCUCACAUGACAUGAGGUCCUGUUUGAAAUAAAAAUGACUGAGCAAGAA